rnacentral:tRNA from 1 species
GCCGGAGUAGCUCAGUUGGUAGAGCAACGCCCUUGUAAGGCGUGGGCCGUCGGUUCGAGUCCGACCUCCGGCU